rnacentral:rRNA from 1 species
UACGAAGGUCCCAAGCGUUGUUCGGAAUCACUGGGCGUAAAGGGAGCGUAGGCGGCGCGGUAAGUCAGAUGUGAAAUCCCGGGGCUCAACCCCGGAACUGCAUCCGAUACUGCCGUGCUAGAGUAAUGGAGAGGUAGCUGGAAUUAUCGGUGUAGCAGUGAAAUGCGUAGAUAUCGAUAGGAACACUCGUGGCGAAAGCGAGCUACUGGACAUUUACUGACGCUGAGGCUCGAAGGCUAGGGGAGCGAAAGGG